GAUGAACGCUGGCGGCGUGCUUAACACAUGCAAGUCGAACGGCGAAAGAGAGCUUGCUCUCUGGUUCAGUGGCGAACGGGUGAGUAACACGUGAGCAAUCUGCCCCUGACUCUGGGAUAAGCGCUGGAAACGGCGUCUAAUACCGGAUACGAGCUGCGAAGGCAUCUUCAGCAGCUGGAAAGAACUUCGGUCAGGGAUGGGCGCGCGGCCUAUCAGCUAGUUGGUGAGGUAACGGCUCACCAAGGCGUCGACGGGUAGCCGGCCUGAGAGGGUGACCGGCCACACAGGGACUGGGGAGCGGCCCAGGGUCCUACGGGAGGCAGGGGUGGAGAAUAUUGCAAGAUGGGCGAAGGGCGGAUACAGCAACGCCGCGUGGGGGAGGACGGCCUUCGGGUUGUAAACCUCUUUGGGCAGGAAAGAGGCGAUAGUGAGGGUACCUGAAGAUAAAGAACCGGCUAACUACGU
rnacentral:rRNA from 1 species